UGCAAUGUACCUCAGUGGUAGAACACUUACAUAGCAUGAGUGAGGUCCUACAUUCAAUUCCUAGUAUUGUAA
rnacentral:tRNA from 1 species